rnacentral:lncRNA from 1 species
UAGCGAGAUACACUCUCUAUGCAUAUAUGUUUAUAGAUACAGAUAUACUUACAUGUCUAAAAAUCACGUUUAUUUAACUGUAAGCUCCUGAAGUGAGAAAGCAAGCAAUCUAAAAUAUUUAUGUCCACUAUGCAACUGCUAACAAAAUAACUCUUCUUUGACAUCAGUCUUCAGGACUUCCAGCACUUCAGCUUUGCCAUUUUUACAAUGGCUUUGUAGUAAAAGUAGUGCAAACCUUCUAAAAUCAACACAAUAAGUAACCUGGGGAGUAGGAGGUAAACUAAAUGAAGGUCAUCUUUCUACAUACAGAUGUAACCACAGAGCUAGGUGACAUAUUAAUAUUCACUGUAGUUUCAUUUUAAACCUCUGGGAGUUCAUUAGCUUCCCUCUUAUAUGUUAUUGUUCAAAUCCUGCCUAUGACAGAGCAAACAGAAAAGAUAACAAAAAUGAUUGAAUAGAAGGUAUUUUCCAGGUUGUGAAAAUGCAGCUGAAGUAAUACUGUGCUCUGCUGGGCUUCUCAUAUUUUGUUGUAUUACAGGAUAGAUGCAGAAAAUAAGAUGGUUCUCCCUCUUGAGGAAAAAAAACAUUUAUUAUGAGAAUGAAUGCACCAGUCAGAGCAUAUGGGCCUAACAGAUAUGCUUUGGACUGUAAAUGAAGACAUAUGGUUCCUAAAGUCAGUGCAGGGCUGCAGCUGUUGUUACUCUCACCCCCAAACGCUCACCUCUUAGCUACUGCUUCUGGCUACCUGAAGAUCAAAACCAAGGCAGAGUGGCAGAUCAAAGCCAAGAAAAGGAAAACUCAAAAAUAAAUGGAACAGAUGGAAACUGAGGGAAAACUGCC